UACGGGGGGGGGCAAGCGUUUGUUCGGAAUUACUGGGCGUAAAGGGUUCGUAGGUGGCCAACUAAGUCAGACGUGAAAUCCCUCAGCUUAACUGGGGAACUGCGUCUGAUACUGGUUGGCUUGAGUGCAGGAGAGGAACGCGGAAUUCCAGGUGUAGCGGUGAAAUGCGCAGAUAUCAGGAGGAACACCGGUGGCGAAGGCGGUUCUCUGGGCAUUACCUGACGCUGAGGAGCGAAAGUGUGGGGAGCGAACAGG
rnacentral:rRNA from 1 species